CUGCUGACAGCAACAUAGAUGCAGAAGCACAGAAUUCAACUGGAGCUCCCAGAGCGCGAACUCAUCUUUUCAUUUAGGGCUGCUGCAAUGCCUGAACAGGGAGAUUUAAUUUUUUCUCCCCAGAUUAAAAAAGAAUUCAUCUCUUACUGCACAAUAGUCUCUCUGGAGAAUUUCAUCAAUCUGCAAUUAAAUUAGCUUCUUCUGAAAGAACAGCAGAAAUUAGAAAGGUAACAAAAUAAACAUGCUUUUGUUUAUAUAUAUCUCAGAAGAUCAGAGCAGACAGGAAUAGAAACUCUGUCCCAUGGCCUUUUGAGGGCUGUUUCAGACUGGCCACUGGCCCCUGAAUGUAAAAUGGCAGUCCUCACCUGCUCUAAAAUACCAACGCUUUCUUCAGUGAUGCCCCAAAACCCUGCUUGUGGAUUAUGUCUUCUUUAUUUUAAGACUGUACCAAUGAAUACAGAGACUAUUGAAGGUUAAAUAUCUUCAUUAAGUCUAUCCACCUGUUUAUAUUAACUACUGAAGUGCAUUUAAGCAACACAUCUGCUUUUGCUUCAUUGUUCCUUUGUAGACACUGUUUGACAAGAGUAAUCUCCUUCAUUUCAGUCAGAAGCUCUUGGCUAAAUUGCCAUGACUUCAAAGUGGUUUGCAUGACUGCAGUCUCUCUUCUUACAGAUGCUUAGCGCUGGCUUCCUGCUUGUUCUGGUGGAAGCAUCCGCUGUUGUCAGUGGGAGGGCAAGACCUAGAGCAGUCAUGGAGAAAAGACUCAGCAUCUGAGCAGCAAUUCAUUUGAGAGCUAGAGGGUGUGUGACACUGCUUCAUAAAUUGGGUAAUGACUGUGAAUAUGAAGAGAACAGCCACAGGAGAGAUUGCACAUUUCUGUUUUCUACAGAUGUAGAAGCCUUGGCUUAACUAAAUUUGUUACCUUAAUAAGAGGCUGCGGUGUUAUGUGUGGUCACUAAUGAUAGGAGCUAAAAAUGUUACUGUGGUUUUCCACAGCGCUAUUUCCCCUACCUGUCAAUAUAAUAAAACAAUCAGGAGAGAUGAGGUUCAUCUCACCUAGUUCCAGCCACUUAGAAUCAAUCAGUUUUAAACUCAUUAUCUGAACUCUCGCUCUAGGAGUGGUGGAAGAAAGUCACCAGUUACUUGUAGAUUAGGAUACGGUCGAUGGCUUACUAUUUGGAAUGACGGCCCUCUGUUGAAUUUAGAUAAUUAGUUUACACGAAACAGAUCUCAUUUACACAGUUGUAAUCUAGGUGAGAUAAUUCUUACUUUACUGCUUCCUGUUUUGCUUGGCAGGCUCAGUGCUAAUGGAAGAACUCCGUGCUGCAGGUUGAAAUGGGCAUGCACAUAUGAGUUUGCUGAUGAGCUUAGCUCCCAGGAGUUCUCGUUCUUUUGAUCCUCCUGUUUUCAGCAUUACAGCCAAGUGUAGCUUCGAGAGAGAGCUGCUGUCUUCAGUCAGUCACAGGGCAAUCCCAAGGAUUUGAAGCAUGUAAAAAUAGAUAAAAUGGCUAUAUAUUAUUGAGAGGUGGUAUUUAAAUGUUCUCCCACAUG